GCCUCUGUGGUCUAGUGGUAUGACGUAUCCUUCACAUCGCUUACACUUUGCGAUGGAGAGAGAGCGGAUAAGGUCCCGAGUUCGAUCCUCGGCGGGGGUA